AUUGAACGCUGGCGGCAGGCCUAACACAUGCAAGUCGAGCGGAUGAAGGGAGCUUGCUCCUGGAUUCAGCGGCGGACGGGUGAGUAAUGCCUAGGAAUCUGCCUGGUAGUGGGGGCUAACGUCCGGAAACGGGCGCUAAUACCGCAUACGUCCUGAGGGAGAAAGUGGGGGAUCUUCGGACCUCACGCUCUCAGAUGAGCCUAGGUCGGAUUAGCUAGUUGGUGGGGUAAAGGCCUACCAAGGCGACGAUCCGUAACUGGUCUGAGAGGAUGAUCAGUCACACUGGAACUGAGACACGGUCCAGACUCCUACGGGAGGCAGCAGUGGGGAAUAUUGGACAAUGGGCGAAAGCCUGAUCCAGCCAUGCCGCGUGUGUGAAGAAGGUCUUCGGAUUGUAAAGCACUUUAAGUUGGGAGGAAGGGCAGUAAGUUAAUACCUUGCUGUUUUGACGUUACCAACAGAAUAAGCACCGGCUAACUUCGUG
rnacentral:rRNA from 1 species